GGGAAUAAACAUUUAAUUCAUUUUGAAAGGAGAUACAUGUACAACAAAUAUAGCACACAUCUAAUAUAGUGAUGCAUGAGUAGACGACCCUACGGGGAAAAGUUGAAAGGGUUAUACUGGGAGAAGUUGAAAGUAAAGUUGCAAUUUGACUAAAAUCCAGAUCCUAUUCGGCUUUGAGGUAGAAAUUGCCCCAGUAUUCCACCACAUUUGGUCAUAACCUCUUUGCUGAAUAAAUAAACAGACACAUUAUGGUUACAUGUAUGUAUAACUUAAUACUAUUCUAACCAACACAAUCUGGUCGACCGAGAGUUAACAUCGAGCAGCAUUGCUAAAGAGAGAAUUUUUGUUUUUCUGACCCGGGAAUUCUGAAAACAUUUGUACAUGAACACCCUGCGGCCUCAUGGUGAAUAUGGAAUACAACCCGGGGUAAAUCCCCGUACACUUGAUUGAUCCCGAAUAACUAAUCAAAGUACUGAAAGCCGGACUCUUUUGGUGUGUCUUAAUGCAUAAUAUUAUUGUGUAGUGGAGACUGAGAAAAAAUAUCUCUCUCUCUCUCUCUCUCUCUCUCUCUCUCUCUCUCUCUCUCUCUCUUAAUGUCAGCAAAGCGUCAGAAAACGACCAAAUUUUGUAAGCGGCAAUAAACAGAAAUAUGUCUGUCUGGUAGAAAAAAGUUCCACAGUUGCUGCCUUGAAUUUUGCAAUAAGCGUUAUAUAUUCAAUCCCAUUUCUUCAACGUGCAUCAAAGUAGUUCAUGGAAAUUCAUAUUGUAUGUGUCAAAAAUGCAUAGUCUUGUUUUUAAAACAUGUUAUUAAUAAGAAAACUAAAAAAGAUUGACAAUUCUCUCGAAAUAAAAAAAAAAAGAAACCAAAAAAAACCCCAACACUUUUGAUAAAACGUGACUCUUUGUGUAACUAUUUGGUAUAGCGGAAGCUUUUACUUUGACGCUGUUUGAUUUUUUGUUUACUUUUGAAGUUGUGCUAUUUAUAGUAACAUUGGUGAUUUGCCUGCCUACAGCCAGGACUCUGCUUUCAACAGAGCCCGGUUAAUAAUAUAUUUAAUAUACUUCUUUUGCCACCGUUGUUAAAGGGUUAUUUAUCGUGCGAGCACCGCUUUUAAUUAGUUAUUUAUCGCAUAUCUAAGGCAGCUGAUACAAAUUGAGGAGUGAUUUGUAUUAAUGACAGAUGUAAUGCACCGUGUUGGUUGCAUCGGUUGUAAACUCGGGAGACGGAGAGGUCGCAAAAAUAAUUUUACCGAUGGAUUCACUUGAUUCGACAUUUUGAGAUAAGAUGGGUGUCAUUGUGAAUUACUAGAUCUAUUGAAUUAAUUACUUUAUUAAUAACGUCAGUAGCCUGUGCUCAGUGCUUAUACUGUUGAUAUUGUUUAAUAUUAUUUAUUUUGUAAAGAAUUACUACAAGCCAUUGGUCACAAUGUGAGGGGUCAGAUGAUGAAAGGCCGCCGAGUGUUGUGCAUGGAUUAAACGAUAUAUGUUAGAGGCAUAACUUCCUUCAGAUCCGCGGAAGAACUGAACGGACAGGUCAUUUACAACAUGUAUAUGCAGGUGCCUGCGGAGAUGACGGAAAUGAAAGAAAACUUGGGGGAGUUCCUUACAACAUCACUAGAUAUGUUAUUUGAAAAGGGGAUCCUUAAAAUCCCAAGGUAUACUCUUAAAACUAUAGAUUUACUACAAGCCAUUGGUCACGAUGUGAGGGGCCAGAUGAAGAAAGGCCGCCGAGUGUUGUGCAUGGAUUAAACGAUAUAUGUUAGAGGUAUAACUUCCUUCAGAUCCGCGGAAGAACUGAACGGACAGUAUUUAACAGCCAUUGGGGACAUCGAAGUGGAAGAGUACGAAAGGAGUUUCUCGAGGAAGAAGAGGGGGAUGAACUCCUGGAAGAAGGAAUAAUUUGUCCCGUUCCUGGUUGUCUCAGUAAAGGACACAUAUUUAAGAAAUAUAACAUUUAUGUCACACAUUAUACAGGUUCCUGAAGAAUUUUUUUUAUGUUCACUUGCCCAAUAUUUAAAGUGAAAGAGACAGAAAUACAAGACAUUUUAAACGAGUACAUCUCACUCAUAACAAUCCACCUCAUACUGGGAAAUUGACGGAAAACGCUAAAUUUAUUGACCCUGAAAACUUUAAGAAGCCAAGUAAGAGAUACAUAAAGAAGAACGAGAACGGGCCCAGCAUCUCAGAUUUUAAAGGAGGGAGGAAUGUAACAAUUUAGUUAGUAGACAUAUUAACAACUUGAGUUUACCCCUUACUUCAUAUUCAUUACACAACGUUUUAAUUUGUUUGAAUUACAGUUUUUAAGUCCUCUAAGCUAUAUAUUUCGAUGUUUUUCAUAAUUAUGAUCCUGUUAUGUCCCAU